GAAGAUUGAACAGUGGCCGUUCGGUUUCUUGUGUAAAGAAACGAAUAUGCGAGGUUCGCGAACCUUUCAGUUAUUCAAGGUUUCACCGAGGGCAGGGGAGAGGGCGGUUGGUGGUGGGAUGGAUGAGGAUACAGAGGUGGCGGCGGGGUGCCGGACUUAUAGGCUGUGAAACGGCGAGGCCGCAAAAGGAGACGGAGGACGCUGCGUGCUGGUGUUUCGUGAGAAAGGAUGAAUAAAUUAGUCAAUACAAAUAUCUUAUUUAAGUAUUUCUUUUCACUCCAACCCACUUACAAAUCCUCUAGAGUUUUGUACAACCAUGUAAUUCUUACAACCAUUUAAGAAUUUCCUUUUCAAGCAAGCAAGCUACAGUUCAUGAGUAAAAAUUUAUAUGAAUGGGGCACUUCCACGUCGCCCUAUAAAACCACCAUAGUCUAUCCGAGUUCUUCGCCCCUCGGUCAGUAAGAAAAUCUCCUCACACUAAGUACAGAGAACUUCUUACACUUAAAAUUCUUCCUCAACCACUCUCCAGAAUCAUCUGCAUUUCUGUUCAGAAACAACAACUCCAAAACUUAAUCAACAGUUCAUCUGCAACCCAUUCUUAGCUAUACUUUCGAGAAACCAAAAUCUAUUUUCACAAGAGGUAAACCAACUCACAUAUACACUCAAAAAUCAGUCAUUCAUUUUAUAAAGAAGACCAACACCGAUGACAUGUUCAUAUACAGAAUCAACACUAACUACACUAACUAGGACUGCACAAUUCACAGAGGAUACGCACACAUAUUAUAUACACACACAAUUAUAUGUCACAGAAAUCAGCAUGCAUACCUUGUUAUUUUCUGAAAAAUGAGUUCCAUAAAAUGUUCUUCCUUCUACAUUUAGAAUUAGCACAAAUUGGAUUAAAGAAAAGAAAAGGAAGGUGUAUCUAUGCACUGUGUGUGUGUGUGGGCGUGAGUUCUGAGAUGUUGUUGCUGUUGUGAGUCAGGACGGAUUGGAGUCGAGGUAGAAAGGAGGGAGGACCGGAGGUGGUGGCGGGCUGGUAGCUCCUGUUGCCCGUCGAUAGAGAGAGAGGAGAGGCGGCUGGACAGCGGAGCUGUUCGGCGGAGCGAGCGAUGGCGGUCUCUGCCUUUGAGGUCGAUCGGUGGUCCAGAGAUGGGAGAUCGACGACGGUGGUGGCCGAUGGCUGCUGCUGUUCGUCUGUCAAGGAGAGGGGCGGAGGCGAUCUCAGAGAGGAUGAGGGAGGCGGUGAUGGCGGUGGUCCGGCUGACCGUGGCUGUCGAUCAGAAGAGCGAGAGGGGAAGGAGGCGGUGGUUCCGGCGGUAAUCUCGCCGGAAAUCGUAGGGGGGAGAAGCUAGGGUUUCUGAUUUGGGGAUUUUGGUGAGGGAUGGUAUGAGGGGGAUGAACGAGAGAGUGAGAAAGAUAGAGAGAUUGAUGAGUUGGGUUGGGCUCCAGUUAUUGGGCCUCUAAUUAAAUAAAGUGGACUGCAUUUUUAUAACUUGGGCUAUUGAUUAUAUUUUUG
rnacentral:lncRNA from 1 species